CACCCGGAACUCACGCUGGCCCGCGAGCGCCGCGCGCAGCCCUGGUUCCCGCCCGCGGCUCUCUCUCCACACAUCCCCGCAAGCUGAGGGAGCCAGCUCCGGCCUUGGCCAGCCCAGAAAAGGGCUCCCACAGUGCAGGGGCGGGCUGAAGGGCUCCUCAAGUGCCGCCAAAGUGGGAGCCCAGGCAGAGGAGGCGCCGAGAGCGAGCGAGGGCUGUGAGGACUGCCAGCACGCUGUCACCUCUCAGUCAGAGCCCACAGAUAAUAGCAACACACUAAGGUCCUCAAGGUACAUCGUUGGGAUCAAGCAACUUUGAUCCCAAGGAGAAGAAUAAAAACAAGAGGGACGACUGGGCCAAGGUGCCAUGUGAAGUGACCUGUGAGGAUCAACCCAGUGAAGAUGCUUGAGGAAGACAUGCUAGAGCAAAAACUACAACUCUGGUCCUCUUGGAUAUUUUAGAUAAGGACUUUACCCACAUAAAGAAGGUGUUGCCCUGGGGACUGGCUGAGAGAAAUUACAGACUGUUACUCACUUCAAAAGAAACGGACUGCUACAGUGGUACUUACGUCACCAGAAAGAAACACUUCCACAAAGAAUUUGAUUUGAUGGCAUCAUGUGGACAUAGAACUCUCAUAGUAAUGACCCAACCUGUGUUUCCAGUCAUCCUGAUGAACUCUCAACAAAAUCAGAUUGUUAUACUGUUGUUCUCACUUUACACCGAUAUUUUCUCUUGCUCCUAAAAAAAGUAUCUGGUAUUAAAUAGAAUUCUGUAUCUUAAAAAACUUGCCAUUGAGAAAAAUGAGAAGUAACUGUACAUUUUAAUACUGAAGGUUUUAAUAAAAAAAGCAGUGUGAA
rnacentral:lncRNA from 1 species